CAUCUCUGGCUUUCUAGGAUGACCUAGGUCGCUCAGAGUGUGCUGCAGAUGGCGCAGAGGGAGUGAAUAGCUUUUUUAGUACAGUCUUACAGCUCUGAAGCACGUUUGGCAUUAUUUUUGACUCAGUGUUGAAAUCUCUGACUGAUACAUCAGGGCCAUAAAGAUGGGAAUUGGGAAAGGCCAUGAGAAGUACCAGCUGGCAGCUACAUCUGAGCAAGAUGGCAAGAAAAAGUCUAAGGGGAAGAAGAAAGAGAAGGACAUGGAUGAGCUGAAGAAGGAAGUGGACCUGGAUGACCACAAAUUGACGCUGGAUGAACUUCACCGGAAAUACGGCACAGAUUUGAGCAGGGGUUUGACCAUCAUGCGUGCCGCAGAGAUCCUUGCCCGUGACGGCCCCAAUGCCUUGACUCCACCCCCCACCACUCCAGAGUGGGUCAAGUUCUGCAGGCAGCUGUUUGGCGGGUUCUCCAUGCUGUUGUGGAUUGGUGCCAUUCUCUGCUUCCUGGCAUAUGGAAUCCAGGCUGCCUCUGAAGAUGAGCCUGCCAACGAUAAUUUGUACCUUGGGGUUGUGCUUUCUGCUGUUGUCAUCAUCACUGGCUGCUUCUCCUACUACCAAGAAGCUAAAAGCUCCAAAAUCAUGGACUCUUUCAAGAACCUGGUUCCUCAGCAAGCCUUGGUGAUCCGGGAUGGUGAGAAGAAGAGCAUCAAUGCCGAGGAUGUAGUAGUAGGAGACCUGGUGGAGGUGAAAGGAGGAGACAGAAUCCCCGCUGACUUGCGCAUUAUUUCUGCUCAUGGUUGCAAGGUGGACAACUCCUCUCUCACCGGAGAAUCAGAACCUCAAACUCGGUCUCCUGACUUUUCCAAUGACAACCCCCUGGAGACCAGAAACAUUGUAUUCUUCUCCACUAACUGUGUAGAAGGCACUGCCCGUGGUAUUGUCAUCAACACCGGAGACCGUACCGUCAUGGGCCGCAUCGCCACCCUUGCCUCGAGCUUAGAGGUCGGACGUACCCCAAUAGCUAUCGAAAUCGAACAUUUCAUCCACAUCAUCACGGGUGUGGCUGUCUUCCUGGGCGUGACCUUCUUCAUCCUCUCCCUCAUUCUUGGAUAUGUUUGGCUGGAAGCUGUCAUCUUCCUCAUCGGGAUCAUUGUGGCUAAUGUGCCUGAGGGGCUUCUGGCCACUGUAACUGUGUGCCUGACCCUAACUGCCAAACGUAUGGCUAAGAAGAACUGCCUAGUGAAAAAUCUGGAGGCUGUAGAGACCCUGGGCUCUACCUCCACCAUCUGUUCUGACAAGACAGGCACCUUAACUCAGAACCGCAUGACUGUGGCUCACAUGUGGUUUGACAACCAGAUCCAUGAGGCUGACACCACAGAGAACCAGAGUGGCACCUCCUUUGAUAGGAGCUCUGCCACUUGGGCUGCCCUGGCCAGAGUUGCAGGCCUCUGCAAUCGUGCUGUCUUCCUGGCUGAACAGAGCAGUGUUCCUAUUCUGAAGAGAGAUGUUGCAGGAGAUGCAUCAGAGUCAGCCCUGCUGAAAUGCAUUGAACUGUGCUGUGGCUCUGUGAAGGACAUGAGGGAUAAGUAUCCCAAAAUUGCAGAGAUUCCUUUUAACUCUACCAACAAAUAUCAGCUUUCCAUCCACAAGAACCCUAACACCUCUGAGUCGAAGCACUUGCUGGUCAUGAAGGGAGCACCAGAGAGGAUCCUGGACCGCUGUUCCACCAUCCUGAUCCAGGGCAAGGAGCAGCCCCUGGAUGAUGAGAUGAAGGAUGCCUUUCAAAAUGCCUAUCUGGAGCUGGGUGGCCUAGGAGAGAGAGUAUUAGGAUUCUGCCAUUUCUUCCUUCCGGAUGACCAGUUUGCUGAGAGCUUUCAGUUUCACACUGAAGAUGUGAACUUCCCCACUGAAAAUCUGUGCUUUGUUGGUCUCAUGUCAAUGAUUGACCCUCCUCGUGCUGCAGUGCCUGAUGCUGUAGGCAAAUGCCGGAGUGCUGGAAUCAAAGUUAUCAUGGUUACUGGUGAUCAUCCAAUCACAGCUAAGGCCAUUGCAAGGGGUGUGGGUAUCAUCUCAGAGGGCAAUGAGACUGUGGAGGACAUUGCUGCCCGGUUGAACAUUCCAGUUCGAGAAGUGAACCCCAGAGAUGCCAAGGCCUGUGUGGUCCAUGGGGGAGAACUGAAGGAUCUGACCUCAGAUCAGCUGGAUGACAUCCUCAAGCACCACACAGAAAUUGUAUUUGCUAGGACCUCUCCACAGCAGAAGCUGAUCAUUGUGGAGGGCUGCCAGAGACAGGGUGCCAUUGUAGCUGUGACAGGCGAUGGUGUCAAUGACUCCCCCGCCUUGAAGAAGGCCGAUAUUGGCGUGGCUAUGGGCAUUGCAGGAUCUGAUGUCUCCAAGCAGGCUGCUGAUAUGAUCCUUCUGGAUGACAACUUUGCCUCCAUUGUCACUGGGGUUGAAGAAGGUCGUUUAAUCUUUGACAAUCUAAAGAAAUCCAUUGCCUACACAUUGACCAGCAAUAUCCCAGAGAUCUCUCCAUUCCUCCUUUUCAUUAUUGCCAACAUCCCUCUACCCCUGGGAACAGUCACCAUCCUCUGUAUUGACUUGGGAACUGACAUGGUUCCUGCUAUCUCCCUGGCCUACGAAGCUGCCGAGAGUGACAUCAUGAAGAGGCAGCCCAGAAAUCCCAUAACAGACAAGUUGGUGAAUGAGAGACUUAUCAGUAUAGCCUAUGGUCAGAUAGGCAUGAUGCAAGCAACGGCAGGGUUCUUCACCUACUUUGUCAUCCUGGCUGAGAAUGGUUUCCUUCCCUCUACACUCCUGGGAAUCCGUGUUCGCUGGGACGACAAAUAUGACAAUGACCUGGAGGACAGCUAUGGCCAGCAGUGGACCUAUGAACAGAGAAAAAUUGUGGAAUACACCUGCCACACUGCUUUCUUUGCCAGCAUUGUGAUUGUACAGUGGGCUGACUUGAUCAUCUGCAAGACCAGAAGAAAUUCUAUACUUCAACAAGGCAUGAAGAAUAAGAUACUCAUCUUUGGACUAUUUGAGGAAACAGCUCUGGCUGCCUUUCUCUCUUACUGCCCAGGCAUGGAUGUUGCCCUUAGAAUGUACCCAUUAAAACCUUGCUGGUGGUUCUGCGCCUUCCCCUACUCCCUCCUCAUCUUCCUGUAUGAUGAAGCCAGAAGGUACAUCCUUCGGCGUAGUCCGGGAGGCUGGGUAGAAAGGGAAACAUACUACUAAGCAAACAAUGUCCUGUCUGGAUCAGCAAUUCAAUUUGGGAUCUGCAACGGAUCUGCUUCCAUUGAAGUCAUCUUGCACUUAUCAUAAAUAUUUUGGAUUCGUUUAUACAGUAUAUAAGAAAAACAAUUAUUGAAUAAAACUCUUUAUUCUUCUUCUCUACAGAAGUUUGAAAGGACUAAAUCAUGAUGUAGCUUUGAUAUGUUACUAGUAACAUAACUGUUUCCAUACAGCAUCUUAUUAAAUACCAUUUCUUUAAGUUAUUGAUUGUACUUGGUGCUGUCCAAAUGGUAGGAUUUGUUUUAAUUUAGUCCAAAGAAUCAGCACCCAGUUAAUUGAUAUGAUCAAGUUUAAGAGACAGAGGCAAGAUUUCAUCCUAGCGUACAGCCCAGUGUUUAAACUAAAUAUCACAUUUAGCCAAAUAAAGUAAAUAAAAUAUUUUUCAUCAGAUACAUUUAUUUUUUAAUUCUUGUUUAAAAACCUCUACAACAGCACUGCAUAUCCUAACUUACAUAAAAUUUGAUGACAAGUAUGUUAUUCUGAAUGAAAAAAUACCCUGCAGAUAGAAAAAUCUCCCUAUCUACCAACAGCAGUGAAAGAUGAUUAUUGCAGCGUCAUUAAUAAACGAAAAUCUUAUCAGG